AUUGAACGCUGGCGGCAGGCCUAACACAUGCAAGUCGAGCGGAUGAAGGGAGCUUGCUCCUGGAUUCAGCGGCGGACGGGUGAGUAAUGCCUAGGAAUCUGCCUGGUAGUGGGGGAUAACGUCCGGUAACGGGCGCUAAUACCACAUCCGUCCUGAGGGUGAAAGUGGGGGAUCUUCGGACCUCACGCUCUCAGAUGAGCCUAGGUCGGAUUAGCUAGUUGGUGGGGUAAAGGCCUACCAAGGCGACGAUCCGUAACUGGUCUGAGAGGAUGAUCAGUCACACUGGAACUGAGACACGGUCCAGACUCCUACGGGAGGCAGCAGUGGGGAAUAUUGGACAAUGGGCGAAAGCCUGAUCCAGCCAUGCCGCGUGUGUGAAGAAGGUCUUCGGAUUGUAAAGCACUUUAAGUUGGGAGGAAGGGGAGUAAGUUAAUACCUUGCUGUUUUGACGGUACCAACAGAAUAAGCACCGGCUAACUACGUG
rnacentral:rRNA from 1 species